UUGGACGUGAAGGCUCUCUCAGGUAAUUGCUCUUUCCAUUUUUGUUUGGCUGGAAUGUGUGUAUGGCUGCAUGCAUAUGCAUACUUCUAUUGUUUUGGGGGUCUAUCUUUGCUUGUGAUUGAUGAAGUUACUUUAUGCAUUUGAAAAUGCCCUCUUGCUAGUGCGUAGAUUAAUUUCCCAACUAAGGUUGCUGUCUUUUGGGUUGGGAUUAGCUGUUGAGAGGUUGUCAAAAGGAAGUUUUUCUCAUUGGCUAUAUUCAAAAGAAAGGUAGUGGUGUAGGCUUAAGAUUCUCAUCAGAGCGAAAUAAAACUUGGUGCAUUUUUUUUUCCAUUUUCAGUACUCUCUCUCUCUCUCUCUCU
rnacentral:misc_RNA from 1 species